GGAUGUGAAGGCGAUCUGGCUGCAACAUCUGUCACCCCAUUGAUCGCCAGGGUUGAUUAAGCUAAUCUGGCUGGCUGGGCUGGUGCUCCCUUCCUCCCUCACUGCUCCAUGUGCAUCCCUCCUGAAGCUGCAGGGUCAGUCAAAGAGGAUGACCUUGCUUUCCCGAACAGAGACGGACCAGUCUUCAGUCAAGGAUAUAGGAGUAGCUUCGCUUCCCUGAUGGAACCUCCAAAGAAGCUCCAAAAUUUUGGUUACUGUGGAUAGUGCAGCUAUGAAUAUGGAAGUACAUAAAUCCCUUAAAAUUUGUGCUAUUAUCUCUUUUGGAU
rnacentral:snRNA from 1 species